GUGUUAACUUCAGCAGCACAUAUAUUACAACUGAAAUGAUACAGAGAAGAUUUGCAUGGUCCCUGAGCAAGGAUGACACACAAAUUCGGGAAGUGUUCCAUAUUUUU
rnacentral:snRNA from 1 species